UGAGAAUUGUGAAAGAGAAUAUUUGUGUAUUGAGGAAGUAACAAAGCACAAUAACUAUAAUAUAUUAGUACUAUAGAGAAUAUUUGUUCAUUAAGGAUGUGAAAUGUCUGUCCAGGAUUGUUACAAGUACAGAAGUGAACAAAGUUGAAAAAA